rnacentral:rRNA from 1 species
AUCCGUCGCGGGCGCAGGAAAUUUGAGAGGAGCUGUCCUUAGUACGAGAGGACCGGGAUGGACGUUCCGCUGGUGUACCAGUUGUGCCGCCAGGCGCAUCGCUGGGUAGCUAUGAACGGCAGGGAUAAACGCUGAAAGCAUCUAAGUGUGAAGCCCCCCUCGAGAUGAGAUUUCCCAUUCCUAUAUGGAAGUAAGACCCCUGAGAGAUGAUCAGGUAGAUAGGCUGGAAGUGGAAGUGCAGCGAUGCAUGGAGCGGACCAGUACUAAUCGGUCGAGGACUUAACCAAG